UUAUUAACUUUUUCAUUUUCCGUUGAUCUAUACUUAAGCGUUUCCUCUUAGAACAGUUUUUUAAUAAGAGAAGAAAACACGGACAGUGGGAAACUCAAGCUUGAUAGAAUUUGUCCGGAAAAGUGUAUGACGCCUGUUUACCAACUCAUACGGCUUUAACUAAACGUAAGCUCUUCGAAGUUGAGGGCUUGUCAUAAAUGAUUUCUCUAAAACUACGGCCCAAAUCUUAUCAAGGCAGUGCAUGGUAUUGUUCUAUUUACCAUUUUGUUGACGCCUAACAUCAUAUUUGUCACCACAUUUCGACUGAGUUGAAACUUUAUCGAUAGCAACAUCUAACUGUUUAUUAUAAAACUGUUGUCACGCGACCACACAUCAUGAUAAAACAUUCGUCGAGAGAUGUUUACAAAUCAGAUGGUUCGAGGCAUUUAGAACAGGUGGUCUGGUAACACGACUGAUAAAUAUUACACGUUUCACCAAGUCUGUCACAGAUUGAUCAGAUGUGAAGUUUGAUUUCCCUAUUUUUAGCGUCUUCAGUUUUCUGUCGCAUGGA